AAGGGCACCACAAGAACGCGUGGAGCAUGUGGCUUAAUUUGACUCAACGCGGGAAAUCUUACCGGGUCCGGACACACUGAGGAUUGACAGGCAAUAUUAUAAUAUUCUGUAUCACAUUCGUGUGAUCACAGUUAUUAUAUGUUAAAUAUGCUAGUCCUUUCAUGAUUAUGUGAUAGGUGGUGCAUGGCCGUUCUUAGUUCGUGGAGUGAUCUGUCUGCUUAAUUGCGUUUCACUAUUGGGUUCAUAUAAUUACGUACGUUGUUGACGCUUUGACCCCUUUUUCUUACGGGAAAUUGCGCGUGUCUUAGUUUUUCGUUCAGCUCAUACAAUURAACCCUGAAAGCAACGAACGUGACCGCAACCUCUUGUUGCUCUCAAUUUUGACUUACAUGUCUCUGGCAUAUAGUCAUGCUAUGAUUUUUAUAUUCAUUUAUGAAUUUCUUAGUUAAGAGAGCUUUCCAAACUAGAGGGACCGCUGUUACUUUCUUAAACCAGAGGAAGGUUGCGGCAAUAACAGGUCUGUGAUGCCCUUAGAUGUUCCGGGCUGCACACGUGCUACAAUGAUUAUCGCAGUGAGCAUCUCAUUUUUUACACAUCGCAUGCGCGAGUCCAUUUAUUCAUUGCUUCGGUAAUGCUUUAAAUGUGUACCUCUGCGCGCGAUAAAGCCUACUUCGAAAGUAAGCGGGUAAUCAAUUAGAAGUAAUGAUUUCCUAUUUUUUUUUCUGCACACAUAUAUAUGGCGCAUAUACCCGGGUAGCCUUGUUGCUACUUCUGUGCGUAUCUGUGAUGAUUUGCAUUUUUACAUGCAUCUCAUAUUACCAUAUGUGCAAUUGUCAAUUCAUGGUGGGGACAGACCAUUGUUAAUUGUUGGNCUCGGUCUUAACUAGGAAUGCCUUGUACGGAUCUUUGGUUCAACAANCCAUCCGGAAUACUCCCUGCCCUUUGUACACACCGCCCGUC
rnacentral:rRNA from 1 species